rnacentral:rRNA from 1 species
CCUACGGGUGGCAGCAGUGGGGAAUAUUGCACAAUGGGGGAAACCCUGAUGCAGCGACGCCGCGUGAGUGAAGAAGUAUCUCGGUACGUAAAGCUCUAUCAGCAGGAAAGAAAAUUACGGUACCUGACUAAGAAGCCCCGGCUAACGACGUGCCAGCAGCCGCGGUACUACGUAGGGGGCAAGCGUUAUCCGGAUUUACUGGGUGUAAAGGGAGCGUAGACGGCGCUGCAAGUCCGGCGUGAAAGCCCAUGGCUUAACCAUGGGACUGCUGUGGAAACUGGAGAGCUGGAGUGCGGGAGGGGCAGGCGGAAUUCGUGGUGUAGCGGUGAAAUGCGUAGAUAUUAGGAGGAACACCGGCUGCGAAGGCGGCCUGCUGGACCGUAACUGACGCUGAGGCUCGAAAGCGUGGGUAGCAAACAGGAUUAGAUACCCUAGUAGUC